UGCCAGCAGUCGCGGUUAUACCAAGGAAUCGAGUCAUGUAUUUAAUGGUAAAAAGACAGUUAGGUAUAAAUUAUUUUUUAGAGUUAGGCUUAAUGCUUUGUAUAGAGGUAAAAUUUAAGUGCAGUUGUAUAAUUUAUUAGCUACUUGUAAGCUGAAUCUGUGAAAUCCUUUAGGGAAACUGGGAUUAGGUACCCCAUUAUUUUUGGAUAUAAAUUAAGUAUAAUAUUUACCAGAGUACUAUGAAUGUUAAAGAUUUAAAACUCAAAGAACUUGGCGGUGUUUUAGACCACUCAGGGGAACCUGUCUCAUAAUCGAUAAUCCACGUUGUACCUGACCUUUUUUUGUUGUUCAGUUUGUAUACCGUUGUCGUCAGGUAACUUUUUAGAAACUAGAAGUUAGCAGUAGGAAAUAUGGAAAAUGAUUUAGUACGUCAAAUCAAGGUGCAGCUAAUGAAAAGGGGAGGAUGGGUUACAAUUAUAUAUUUGUAAUACGGAAAAGUGCAUGUAAGUGUAUUGGUUUUGAAGGUGGACUUGAAAGUAAAUCUGAAUAUAUAAAUAGUUUGAAUAAGGCUCUGAAACGUGUACACAUCGCCCGUCACUCU
rnacentral:rRNA from 1 species